rnacentral:misc_RNA from 1 species
UUUUUUUUUUUUUUUUUGGGUCAAAUGUAUACUCUGUUCGAUUUGGAUGCCAAGAAAAGUAACCUUUUUUUUUUUGGCAUAAUUUAUACUCUUCCUUUUGCCACUUUAUGUUGUUUUAUUAUUUUUUAUUGAGAAGCCAAAAAAUUGUAUUGGAUUUAAAUAGGGACAAGCUGAAGAGACUAUUCCAAAUUUUUUAAGAGAGUGUGGGUAGGGGUGGCCACGGUUCGGUUUCGAACC